rnacentral:tRNA from 1 species
GCCGGGGUAGCUCAGCCUGGUUAGAGCACCGGACUCAUAAUCCGGGGGUCCCGGGUUCAAAUCCCGGCCCCGGCACCA